UGUGAUAUUGCGCAAGGUUCACCAUCGGCGGCAGUUUCUGGUUGUCGUCCUGCGGCAUUUUGAAGUGCAGCACUUCGGUGUCGCGG
rnacentral:tRNA from 1 species